CAGCCUUUCCUCGCUGACUCCCAUCCCCUCUGGCCGCCACUGCUCGCCUACAAGGCCCAGACCAGUACGGUGGCUCCCUUCCCACGUGGCCGACCUCCAUGCCUCCGCCGCCGGAACUCAUCUGCUGGCUCCUCAUCUCCGCCGCCGGAAGAAUACUACACAUCUAUAGUGUGGCUCCGCCACUUGUAUAGCACGGAUGGAUUGAACCGCAUGUGAGUGAGAGGAGCCGGCCCAGAUUGGUGUAGAUUCAGCCGCGGUCAAAUGAUGAUGGACUGUCUUCCUCAAGCUUCUGACGCCAUUGUCGCUGGUCCAAUCUUCUAGUUCAGCUUGUGCUUGAAACAUCGCCCGUGCCAGCUGCUGCCAUUCUGAAAGGUCCAUUUUGCGUUGCUACUGUUGAACGCCAUUUUGCUCAUGCAGCCGCACAAAAAGGUUCGCAGUGCUCUGUUACAUUAUUGUAUUGCAGAUUUUGGUACAGCUUUUGAUCACCAUGCCCUGAGAAUGAUUAAAAAAAAACUUAGCUUGCUUGAUGGAACAAAUGAAAAACAUCAUCACUACAGCUGCUAAUCAGAGCCUGUGAAGACUCAAAAGAAAAAAAAAACAAUACUUAGCUGCUUUAUUUACUUAUUGUCUUAUUUUAAACAUAGCUUUUUAAUUUCAUAUGAGAAAACUGGAAAGCUGCACCACAGUUUCCUAUGGUCAUAUAAGUUCUGUGCUCUAUAGUCUGUACACAUCCAGAUGAAGAUAGACACAAAAAAAUAUAAAAGGAUUUGUGCUAUAUUUAGUUUACAACAUCGUAAAAUCACAUACAAAUUAUAUAUACUUGCUUUACUUGUACCUACAUAGGAAACAUCGAACCCUUACCUUGGAGCAGAGAUGUCUUGUGAUGACCUAAUCCUUUCCCGUAUGCCUUCCCUGGAAAGUUGAACAAUGGUUUCCUUUAUGUGUCUAAUUUUCAUAAGAUCCUCAUUGCACUCAUUUGGUUCAGGCUCUUGUAGAAGCUUCUCUAUGAGCUCUUCUGAAGUUUCUAUAAGAUGUAGUUUUUCAAGGGCUCUGAGGUGCUCAAUACCGUGAGGAAGAAACAUUAGUUCAGGACAGUCUACAAACACUAGCUCAACGAGGCUUUCCAAUGCACCUUCUUCUAUUUCAACUUGAUUUAGCUCUGGUGCGGUCCAAACAGAUAGAAACCGGAGUUUUGGAAAUGAUCCUGAAGAGAAAUGCAUGUUUUCCCCUUUGAAAGUAUUGAGAAGCUGAAGGAAGCAUAAACCGCGUAACCCCAACAACCUGGAAAAGGAUUCCUCAUCCAUUUUGGAGAAUGAUAACUGCAACCAAGUGAGGUUAUGAAGCCGGGACAGAGAUGACACAACCUGAGGCAUUGAUGCUUUUUCUAGCUGCCCUUCUAAACCAAGUUUAGAAAGGGUUGGAGAGCAUGCAGUGACGUCAAGCUAUGUAUGCCACUUGGCAGCUUGACUCCACCAAAAGGUUUAAUUUCGGAUCCUCCACCAUCAGUACAUGCAAACAGGUAUCUCAGCUUCUGAAGUUUCACCAUGUUGUUUGGUAAGUACGACAACUUGGUGUUGUAAGCAUCCAAGACUUCUAAGUUCUGCAGUCUUCUUAUUUCUUCAGGCAGACUUUUGAUAUCAGUAUUUCUGAGGCCCAAAUACCGCAGAUUAAACAAGUUAAAUACCUCAACAGGGAGCAUCUCUAUACGAGCGCAUUGUAGAUCCAAUGUUGACAGAAGAUUUGAAGAUAUCAGGAUGGGCCUCAACCAAUCAGUAUUGAUAUACCUAUUAAAAACAUGAAUUGCGCGAAGAUGUGUUAAACCCGAUCGACUCAGUUGGUCAAGGUUUUCACUAUGGAUUGAUAUGCGACGUGGGUGCUCUCCGGAGAAUGUUCUGGAGCCAUCGUACACUCUGCCAAAGCAUUCUUCCCCAGCUUUAUUGAGGGCAAGAAGACGUAUGACAUCAUGCACUCGACAACAUUUCAACCGUCCCAUCAGCAAUCCAGUGCCUCAUUAUUCUCCUCCUCUUUAUUGAGUAAUCUUCUGGGAAUAAUGCACAAUGCAAGAAGCAAUUCUUCAAAUCAUAUGGGAGGUCCUCCAAGCUGACUUUCA